rnacentral:lncRNA from 12 species
AUGUUUGCAAGUAGCACUUGCAUCUGGAAGUCUCUGCGUGUCGGGCGGAGGCCAGGCAGUUCUCAGGUCCGCAGGCCGCACGCAGCCUGCCUCGCACCAGUCCUGGGAAAAGCUGUCCACAGGUGCCCUUCUGACCCGGCCUCCCUCAGGCUGCAGACGUGGGGCAGCUCGUGGAAUGGUGUUCCUGGACUCUCCCUCCCAUGCCAUUUCUUUUACAGGGAAUAUUUCAGGCAUGCAGCUGACCUAGAGGGCAGCGUAGAGAGAGGAGAAAGAGAACAUACCACCUGUGUACCUAUGGCCUUGCCUUUAUCAAAUUCUGACCCCCCCGAGCACGUGGUUGUGCUCCGUGGAAAGAAGUCAGGCCUUCUGGGGAACCAAGGUGCCUCUCACCGGCCCGAGGCCAGCAGCCUCCCCUUCUCCCAGAGGCAAACCCUGGGGAGAAUACCAUGGCAAAGAAUGACAUUUCAGGCGCACUCUCGGAACACCGUGCUGGGUUUUCUUUUGGCUCCACCACCGCUGAUGAGAAGUCAGUGGUCCGUCCAAAUGCCAACCGGCUGCUUGGGAAGUCCUUGCCGCAGGGCUCCGUUGACGUCGCUCCAGUCCAGACACGGCCUCCCAGCGACAAAAGUCAGAAGGCAAUAAGAUGUCCCCAGUGCCUGGCAACCUGCUUCUAACUCCCCGGUGAACCUUGUGACAAGGACGGCUCAAGGUGCUACAGGCUGCAGGUGCAGAGAAAGGCUUUUCUCCAGGAGCAAAGAUGCAUUUGUUCACGGUUGGGAGGCAGCGCCUUGGAGCAUCGCACUUCCGUCAAGAUUCUCAGAUACUCAGCGCCAGAUCUUGUAGCCAAAUGAUGUCCUCACAGGUUUCUACAGAUAAAACCAUUAUGGAAAUCACUGUGUUUCUGCAGCUUUCAUUAUACCUCAGCCACAAUGCCCCUGAUACGGCCGGGUGGACGGAGAGACGGCCACUGCACUGGGGCGAGGACAAGCUGCACUGUCCACGGGGUCAGGAGCAGUGCUCAGAGCGCCUGUCCCUGGGGCCGCUCACCUUGGUUUCCCAAGUGAGCCUGUAUUCCUCAUUGGUAAGCCCAGGCUGUUGCAGGAGAGGAAUUGAAGUCCUGCACCUUUUAUGGAACAGUCAGCCAAGUGAAAGCAUUUUGCACAUUUCCCUCAGCCUUCUGUUUCAUCAGAAAGUUUGGGUUGCAUUUUAAGAAAAGAAUGUCUUGGGGUGCCUGGGUGGCUCAGUGUUUGAGCGUCUGCCUUUGGCUCAAGGUAUGAUCCCCGGGGUCCUGGGAUUGAGUCCCGCAUCAGGCUCCCUGCAGGGAGCCUGCUUCUCCCUCUGCCUGUGUCUCUGCUUCUCUGUGCAUCUCUCAUGAAUAAAUAAAUAACAUCUAAAAAAAUGUCUUUAGUU